rnacentral:rRNA from 1 species
UGGCACUAGAAGCCGAUGAAGGACGUUACUAACGACGAUAUGCUUUGGGGAGCUGUAAGUAAGCUUUGAUCCAGAGAUUUCCGAAUGGGGAAACCCAGCAUGAGUUAUGUCAUGUUAUCGAUAUGUGAAUACAUAGCAUAUCAGAAGGCACACCCGGAGAACUGAAACAUCUUAGUAACCGGAGGAAGAGAAAGAAAAUUCGAUUCCCUUAGUAGCGGCGAGCGAAACGGGAAGAGCCCAAACCAACAAGCUUGCUUGUUGGGGUUGUAGGACACUCUAUACGGAGUUACAAAGGACGACAUUAGACGAAUCAUCUGGAAAGAUGAAUCAAAGAAGGUAAUAAUCCUGUAGUCGAAAAUGUUGUCUCUCUUGAGUGGAUCCUGAGUACGACGGAGCACGUGAAAUUCCGUCGGAAUCUGGGAGGACCAUCUCCUAAGGCUAAAUACUCUCUAGUGACCGAUAGUGAACCAGUACCGUGAGGGAAAGGUGAAAAGCACCCCGGAAGGGGAGUGAAAUAGAACCUGAAACCGUGUGCUUACAAGUAGUCAGAGCCCGUUAAUGGGUGAUGGCGUGCCUUUUGUAGAAUGAACCGGCGAGUUACGAUUUGAUGCAAGGUUAAGCAGUAAAUGUGGAGCCGUAGCGAAAGCGAGUCUGAAUAGGGCGUUUAGUAUUUGGUCGUAGACCCGAAACCAGGUGAUCUACCCUUGGUCAGGUUGAAGUUCAGGUAACACUGAAUGGAGGACCGAACCGACUUACGUUGAAAAGUGAGCGGAUGAACUGAGGGUAGCGGAGAAAUUCCAAUCGAACCUGGAGAUAGCUGGUUCUCUCCGAAAUAGCUUUAGGGCUAGCCUCAAGUGAUGAUUAUUGGAGGUAGAGCACUGUUUGGACGAGGGGCCCCUCUCGGGUUACCGAAUUCAGACAAACUCCGAAUGCCAAUUAAUUUAACUUGGGAGUCAGAACAUGGGUGAUAAGGUCCGUGUUCGAAAGGGAAACAGCCCAGACCACCAGCUAAGGUCCCAAAAUAUAUGUUAAGUGGAAAAGGAUGUGGCGUUGCCCAGACAACUAGGAUGUUGGCUUAGAAGCAGCCAUCAUUUAAAGAGUGCGUAAUAGCUCACUAGUCGAGUGACACUGCGCCGAAAAUGUACCGGGGCUAAACAUAUUACCGAAGCUGUGGAUUGUCCUUUGGACAAUGGUAGGAGAGCGUUCUAAGGGCGUUGAAGCAUGAUCGUAAGGACAUGUGGAGCGCUUAGAAGUGAGAAUGCCGGUGUGAGUAGCGAAAGACGGGUGAGAAUCCCGUCCACCGAUUGACUAAGGUUUCCAGAGGAAGGCUCGUCCGCUCUGGGUUAGUCGGGUCCUAAGCUGAGGCCGACAGGCGUAGGCGAUGGAUAACAGGUUGAUAUUCCUGUACCACCUAUAAUCGUUUUAAUCGAUGGGGGGACGCAGUAGGAUAGGCGAAGCGUGCGAUUGGAUUGCACGUCUAAGCAGUAAGGCUGAGUAUUAGGCAAAUCCGGUACUCGUUAAGGCUGAGCUGUGAUGGGGAGAAGACAUUGUGUCUUCGAGUCGUUGAUUUCACACUGCCGAGAAAAGCCUCUAGAUAGAAAAUAGGUGCCCGUACCGCAAACCGACACAGGUAGUCAAGAUGAGAAUUCUAAGGUGAGCGAGCGAACUCUCGUUAAGGAACUCGGCAAAAUGACCCCGUAACUUCGGGAGAAGGGGUGCUCUUUAGGGUUAACGCCCAGAAGAGCCGCAGUGAAUAGGCCCAAGCGACUGUUUAUCAAAAACACAGGUCUCUGCUAAACCGUAAGGUGAUGUAUAGGGGCUGACGCCUGCCCGGUGCUGGAAGGUUAAGAGGAGUGGUUAGCUUCUGCGAAGCUACGAAUCGAAGCCCCAGUAAACGGCGGCCGUAACUAUAACGGUCCUAAGGUAGCGAAAUUCCUUGUCGGGUAAGUUCCGACCCGCACGAAAGGCGUAACGAUUUGGGCACUGUCUCAACGAGAGACUCGGUGAAAUCAUAGUACCUGUGAAGAUGCAGGUUACCCGCGACAGGACGGAAAGACCCCGUGGAGCUUUACUGUAGCCUGAUAUUGAAAUUCGGCACAGCUUGUACAGGAUAGGUAGGAGCCUUUGAAACGUGAGCGCUAGCUUACGUGGAGGCGCUGGUGGG